UACCAGCACCCCGAGUGGUCGGGACGAUUAUUGGGCCUAAAGCAUCCGUAGCCGGUUCUACAAGUCUUCCGUUAAAUCCACCUGCUCAACAGUUGGGCUGCGGAGGAUACUAUAGAGCUAGGAGGCGGGAGAGGCAAGCGGUACUUAGUGGGUAGGGGUAAAGUCCGUUGAUCCAUUGAAGACCACCAGUGGCGAAGGCGGCUUGCCAGAACGCACUCGACGGUGAGGGAUGAAAGCUGGGGGAGCAAACCGG
rnacentral:rRNA from 1 species